rnacentral:tRNA from 1 species
AGCGAGUUAACUUCAGUGGUAGAAUCUAGGGCUCAUAUCCCUAGACGCAUCGGUUCGAUUCCGGUACUCGCCU